CCUAAAAGGGAAAGGAGGCGCUUAAAGGUUCCCUCCGUAUGGGUGGAAAUCAUUCUUAGCGUGACAAGGCAUAAGGGAGGUUGACUGGGAGCACUCCAAGUCGAGCAGGGUCGUAAGACGGACUUAGAGAUCCGGUGGUUCCGCAUGGAAGGGCGAUCGUUCAACGGAUAAAAGCUUCCCCGGGGAUAACAGGCUUAUAUCCCCCAAGAGUCCACAUCGACGGGCAGGUUUGGCACCUCGAUGUCGGCUCAUCCCAUCCUGGGGCUGUAGUCGGUCCCAAGGGUUGGGCCGUUCGCCCAUUAAAGCGGCACGCGCGCUGGGGUCAGAACGUCGUGAGACAGUUCGGUCCCUAUCCGUCGUGGGCGUAGGAAAUUUGAGAGGAGCUGUCCUUAAUACGAGAGGAGCGGGAUGGACAUACCUCUGGGGUAACAGUUGUCGGGC
rnacentral:rRNA from 1 species